UCUUUUCAGCACAUACACCACUAAAAUUGGAACAAGACAGAGAGGAUUAACAAGCUCCCUGCACAAGAAUAACAUGAAAUUCUAUAAAGUAUUCCAUAUCUUU